UGCCCCUAUUCCCGAAGAAGAAGCCUAUGCCGUCGCACCACGCCCCAAUCUUCGCUCCGGCCAUGGCCCUCACCAUGCCUGCACACGACCCCGAAGACGAGAGCUAAGAUUCAAGCCACAGAUGAAUCCGGCAAGCAAGUACGGAGCGCACUUAGAAUCAAGAACAUCAACAAUUCCCAACCUUUAAGGUUACAACCAAUUGUCUCUAUAAAAUUCUAGAGGCACCAUAAUGUUGAUUAACAACACAACACAUGGUCAUACAUAUGUAAUUAUUGCACUA